rnacentral:rRNA from 1 species
AUUGAACGCUGGCGGCAGGCCUAACACAUGCAAGUCGAGCGAGCGGCGGACGGGUGAGUAAUGUCUGGGAAACUGCCUGAUGGAGGGGGAUAACUACUGGAAAAGGUAGCUAAUACCGCAUACCAUCAGAUGUGCCCAGAUGGGAUUAGCUAGUAGAUGGGGUAAUGGCUCACCUAGGCGACGAUGCCUAGCUGGUCUGAGAGGAUGACCAGCCAAACUGGGACUGAGACACGGCCCAUACGCCUACGGGAUGCAGUAGUGGGGAAUAUUUGACAAUGUGCGCAAGCCUGAUGCAGCCAUGCCGCGUUUGUGAAGAAGGCCUUCGGGUUGUAAAGCACUUUCAGCGGGGAGGCGUUACCCGCAGAAGAAGCACCGGCUAACUCCGUGCCAGCAGCCGCGGUAAUAC